CUUGCUUCUCUUGAGAGCGGCGGACGGGUGAGUAAUGCCUAGGAAUCUGCCUGGUAGUGGGGGAUAACGUUCGGAAACGGACGCUAAUACCGCAUACGUCCUACGGGAGAAAGCAGGGGACCUUCGGGCCUUGCGCUAUCAGAUGAGCCUAGGUCGGAUUAGCUAGUUGGUGGGGUAAUGGCUCACCAAGGCGACGAUCCGUAACUGGUCUGAGAGGAUGAUCAGUCACACUGGAACUGAGACACGGUCCAGACUCCUACGGGAGGCAGCAGUGGGGAAUAUUGGACAAUGGGCGAAAGCCUGAUCCAGCCAUGCCGCGUGUGUGAAGAAGGUCUUCGGAUUGUAAAGCACUUUAAGUUGGGAGGAAGGGUUGUAGAUUAAUACUCUGCAAUUUUGACGUUACCGACAGAAUAAGCACCGGCUAACUCUGUGCCAGCAGCCGCGGUAAUACAGAGGGUGCAAGCGUUAAUCGGAAUUACUGGGCGUAAAGCGCGCGUAGGUGGUUUGUUAAGUUGGAUGUGAAAUCCCCGGGCUCAACCUGGGAACUGCAUUCAAAACUGACUGACUAGAGUAUGGUAGAGGGUGGUGGAAUUUCCUGUGUAGCGGUGAAAUGCGUAGAUAUAGGAAGGAACACCAGUGGCGAAGCGACCACCUGGACUAAUACUGACACUGAGGUGCGAAAGCGUGGGGAGCAAACAGGAUUAGAUACCCUGGUAGUCCACGCCGUAAACGAUGUCAACUAGCCGUUGGAAGCCUUGAGCUUUUAGUGG
rnacentral:rRNA from 1 species